rnacentral:tRNA from 1 species
UACGCAGUACCGCAUGACAGCGGGUCGUUAGCUCAGUUGGUAGAGCAGUUGACUUUUAAUCAAUUGGUCGCAG